ensembl:lncRNA
AUGGCGUCUCACCUGAGAGUGGAGGCGUCAUCCCUAUCACUCAGACACGGGGUUAGAUGUGUUACUAACGCGGGAGUUGCGGUUGAGGAUGUACUAGUGGAUGUAGGAGAACGAGUGGGACAUGGAAAUAUUGUAUCGGCUUCUCGGAUGAAUAAGGCCGUUGUGGUUUUCCUGAAGGACGAACUACUCGUUAAUCGUUUGGUUGAAAGUGGAAUUUCGGUAAGUGGGAAUUUUAUUCCAGUACAACCCUUGGUUUCUCCAACAACAAGGGUAACGAUUUCUAAUGUUCCGCCGUUCAUUCCCGAUGCGGAUAUAGAAAGGGAACUUUCACGUUUUGGGAAGUUCGCAAGUGGAAUUAAAAUGGUCCCGCUUGGAUGCAAGAAUGCGGCUUUGAAACAUGUGUUGUCGUUUAGACGACACGUGUAUAUGUUUCUGAAUUCACCGAAUUUAAAUGUUUCAUUUAGGUGCGUUUUUGAUGGUAAGUCGUAUAUGGUGUAUGCUAGCGCUGGGGAAAUGAGAUGCUAUGAGUGCAACUCAGUUGGACACGUGAAAUUGUCGUGCCCUUUCAGAAACGAAGUAGACAGUGAGGCUGGCCCGAGUGGUGUAUCGGGUGAGAGAACAAAUAAUCCAGUGUUGGAAGGAAAUAAUAGUGGGGAUGCUAAGUCGCUAAAUAUUGAGAAAGGAGAUGAGAUUGGAGGAAGUUCCCAACAAGAAGGACAGUUUCCUGAUGAUAAAUUGUCCAGUAGUGAAAAUCAGAAUGGAAAUAGUUCUGGCAAUGUUCAAGUUCAGGAAAAUGUUGAGAUUGUAAAUGGAAAGUCUGUUGUAACUGAUGGAGGAGUUCUACAGCAAACUGAAGCAGUGGAUGAGAUAACAGUUGGUCAGAUGGAAAUUGAAAGUAAAAGUGGAGUAGAAUCGAAGACUGUAAGUGGUGGUGAUUUUCCUUUACCAAAGAUAGUGUUGGGAUCUGAUAAGGAAGUGGGUAAUGAGGAUGGUGACGAUGAUGAAAGUGUGCAGUCUGAUUGUUCAGAUGUAUCUAAUUUCUCACAAAUCACAAGUGAACAAGUAUAUUCGUUGGAAGAGUUAAACGAUUUUAUGGAUGAGACGUUUGGAAAA